UACAGAGGGUGCGAGCGUUGUCCGGAAUCACUGGGCGUAAAGGGCGCGUAGGUGGCGGCCCAAGUCCAUGGUGAAAGCUCGAUGCUCAACAUCGAGUCGGCCACGGAUACUGGGUUGCUCGAGCACUGUAGGGGCAGAUGGAAUUCCCGGUGUAGCGGUGAAAUGCGUAGAGAUCGGGAGGAAGGCCGGUGGCGAAGGCGGCGCUCUGGAACAUUUCUGACGCUGAGGCUCGAAAGCGUGGGGAGCAAACAGG
rnacentral:rRNA from 1 species